rnacentral:pre_miRNA from 1 species
CAGUGCCAAGGUAUCAAUAGCACUCUUGGGGCAUCUCCACCAUGGCCUAGGCUCUGCUUCUGCUCACGAUCCUCACUCAGGGCACAGGUGA